GGUCAAGCUAAUAAGGGCUAAUGGUGGAUACCUAGAC
rnacentral:rRNA from 1 species